UACGUAGGGUGCAAGCGUUAUCCGGAAUUAUUGGGCGUAAAGAGUUGCGUAGGCGGUUCGUAAAGUUUUUGGUGAAAGCCUCAGGCUCAACCUGGGAAUUGCCAAGAAUACUCACGAACUUAGAGGGAAUCAGGGGGUGCUGGAACUCGUGGUGUAGUAGUAAAAUGCGUUGAUAUCACGAGGAACACCAAAGGCGAAGGCAGGCACCUGGGAUUUUCCUGACGCUAAGGCACGAAAGCGUGGGGAGCGAAACGG
rnacentral:rRNA from 1 species